UAGGAGAAAGGGUUGCCAUAUUAUUGUUCGCCACGACGGCGAUCGCUGGUCGCAGACUGAGGCGUCCUUUGCGAUGAUCUGUAAAUAUGAAGCUGAGUUUGGGGCUCAAGCUCACCGGUGACUGACUGCUCAUCUCAGGGAAAUGCUCAAGCUAGAUUUGGGGCAGGGUAGACUGGUUGGCUUCUGGGGUUGGGUUUGGGAACGGUAGGACAGUUGCUGUCUGUAGGUUAGCUUUAGGAUGCUCAUAUUGUACAUCCAGAUGUAAUUAUGUUUGAGUUAUUCUUGUGACCUCAAAGGGGCACACUGCUGCUUGUAUUGACUGGGCGAUCAGAUUGUGUGCAUUGGUUUGUUCUAUUGUUUAUAUAUGUAUUUUUCCCUGAACUGCUGGGGUUGGUUUAACAGUGAGAUCCUGAGCCCUCAGGUGGGUUCCCUGCUAUUUGGGCGCGCCGUAUAACUUCAUGUAAAAUGUCCUUGCACAACAGCCACAACACACACACAUAUUUAGCUACUAAAUGUGAUCAUCUCCCACCCUGAGAGGCUGGAGGUCAUUCUCAAUUGCAGCUAACUGCGGCAACCUACAAUGUGUACCGGCUGAAGUGAAACCAUCAUUCUGCAUUACGGCAACCUAUAACUGAAGUCUGUGGGCAUCAGCUCCGGGAGCGGCAUCUCAGCCGUCUGCCAUCACUUAUCCCCAUUUCCUCGGACCAUCUGCGCCACCCGCUAACUGAACUUAACCGAACCCUGCCGUGCUUCAGCUCUUCAGAGUUUUUCAGUUGCUUCACCGUGGCACUCGCGGCCAUUAGCCAGCAAUGCCCUGCGUAUGCACUACCUUGUCCUGUGAUGAACCAAGAGCGCCCUGACGAAACUGGAUGUAUUACUCCAUAGUAUUACUCCAUAUGAGCGGGACGCGGCUAAUCUGCACCCGAGCUCAUAUGCUCCCGCAUGAACAGUAAAAUUGAAAAAAAAAAAAAAUGUAAAAAUUCUAAUUUUUUUUUGAGUGAAACAUUGACAAAAGUUCUAAGUGCCUGCAAAAAUUCGUCAUGAAAUCACAUUCCUAGAAGGCGUGGCAAAAAAAACAAAAAAUGUACUCUGAAAAAGCUACUUUCAAACGCAUUUUGAAGCACUGAAUUUGUUUUUUUUGCCACGCCUUCUAGGGAUGUGAUUUCAUGACGAAUUUUUGCAGGCACUUAGAACUUUUGUCAAUGUUUGUCUCAAAAAAAAUUUGGAAUUUUUUGAAUUUUUUUCGAUUUUUUUUCGAUUUUACUGUUCAUGCGGGAGCAUAUGAGCUCGGGUGAAGAAUGGACUUUUCGAUAUGAGCGCGCAUUCAAGGUUCUCCUGAGAGCAGAAUUACAGUAACAAAAAUAAACAGUAAAAGCGUUUUCCACCAGAUAACAAAUUAAGGACGAUAUCGGGGAUCAUUUAAUCCUAAAUCAACAACCUUUAAUGGAAUUGAUCCCAAAUUUACGCACAGACGGAGAUAUAUAAGGGAACGAUGAGCCUGUGACCACAACAUACGGUUGUUGAGACAGAUUACCACUGUCAGUAGUACAGCUACACAACUUCCUUUGUUGUCUCUCCAUUCACUUGGAGUGCAAAUCACAUACAAAUUCAAGCUUGGUUUAACAGUACUAAAAUGUUCAGGUCUGGCAGUACUAGUAGUAUUUAGUAGUGGAAGCAGUACACGAUUAUUAAUUUCAGUACAUACUCCCCCUGUGAACUAAUAUAAGAGCGUUUAGAUCACUAAAGUAGUGAUCCAAACACUCCUGUAUUAGUUUACGGAGGGAGUACUUAGUAUCUAUCGUGGUACUAAUUAAUCUAGUUAGGUGCAUGUUGUAUCUACAAAAAUCACAUCUUCUGUUUUAGGAGAAGAUGUUGUACAGAUCCUUAAGCCAAAUUCCUUGAUCUGUGUGGAAUUGCUUCAACCAAAUUGCAGUAAGCACCACCUCUUGAGAAGGCCUCCUCCAAGUUGGGGCAAUCUGUGAUACCUAGUUCCUCCAGGACUGGGAGCUGCUGCAGGAGUCCCUCCGGUAGUGCCUCUAUCCUUGGGCACCCCGCCACUACCAGCCUCCUGAGUGCAAUGACUCCAUACAUUCCAUCCGUAAAUGCCGUCAAGGCAUCACACCCAUGCACAUCGAGUUCUCUCAAUUUUUUGACGUUCCCAAGAACUAUUGGCAUGGACACCAGCUUGGGACAACGACUGAUGUACAAUUUUUCAAGAGAUGCAGGCAACUUUGGUACCUCCACCAAAUUUUCACAUUCUCGAAUUAUAAGAUCCUGGAGUCGAGGAAGCAGGACAUAUUUGUCAUCAGAUAUUGUUGAUGGAAUUGAACCGGUUAAGUUGCAGCACUGGUACAACUCUAGGCCUCGAAUUUGAUUCAAGUUUCCCAAUUCUACCAUUGGCCAUUGUACUAUAUUACUGCUGCCUGAAAUACACAGCGUUUCAACAAAACCAAAAUGGUUCCAUAUAUCCCGCUGUAUUUGGGAUGGUUCAGAUGAGAAAAGACAGUCGCAACUUAUUAUACGUAGCUCCUUGAUAAAUCUGCAAGGUAUUCUUUUCAGCUCUUCUUCAAAGCGCUCUAAAUUUUCCGUCAAACCUCUGAGUGUCAGUUCCACGCGAGAGUCGCCAAGCCUCGAGAAAUGAAGGUCCGCAUGCUGCCAACCAACUGUAGGUUCCACUGAAAUGAUGCCUUUGCACUCAAGAUUAAAUUGCACAGACAAAUUAAUCACAUGGUAAAGGGGAAUGGCUCUUGCCGACUUUACAAGUAGUUGUUCAAGCAAAGGGAGCAUCUUGGGCAUGCUUUGCAGCAUUGGGCAUUCAGUAAUUUCUAGCUUCUUGAGCUGAGAGAAUGAUACAACCGCUGCUUGUCCUGGCACCUCCUCGUGCCAUCUCUCUAGCUUAGGCAUGUCGGAAAUUAUCAUGGCUUCCAACUUAGGAAAGAAAGGUGGUGGAUAAAUACAAGGUUGCCCAAUGUCUGUAUCAUCAUUACCAACACAUAUACUUUUCAAACUAGGAAAAUUAUCCAAACUCAGGUACCCGAGAGAGGGCAUCUUCCAUAAUGGUGGAAGAUCCUUGCAGUUCUUGCAGCUACUCAGAUGAAGUUCGCUGAGAUGUUCUAACUGUGUAGGGUUGUGCAUCCAUGAUGAUAAUUUUGCACCAUUAUAAUUAGAUAAUAGUAAAACUUCAAGUGCUUGGUGAGGACAAAGGGCCUCUAAUAUCUCUUCUGCAUUACUAUGUACUUAAUUUCCAAUAUCUGUAUUAUAAUGUGCAUACCAGUUGAGUGAUAAUCGUUUCAAAUUAUGCUUGGAGGAUAUACUGCCCUCUUUAGCAUUUUCUGCACUAUGCACUUUUCUCAACUCAGUCAAAGAAAGAGCACCACCAAGACUCAAAUCUUUCAGUUGAUCAAUUCCACGACCUGCAUCACUAUCAAUGACGUAACUCGUCAGUGUCUGCAGAGAAUUCAGCUGAUUGAUACCUUGUGGCAUGUACUCCAAACGAUUGCACCCAAUGAGGAAGAUGUGCCGAAGGCUGAUCAUAUAUCUCAUGCCUUCUGGUAAUUUCUUAAGUUCUUUACAACCAAUGAGCUUCAAAGUCUGCAAGCUAUACAACAUGGCAGUGGUUUCAGGCAGUGCAGAUAAACGAGAAUAAGAACAAUCUAGAUAGCGAAGAUGCUUGAAGUUUUUCAUGUCUGUUAUGAUUGACAAUGUCUUCAGUGCUCGUAGGGACAUGAAUUUUGACAUGGCCAUACUCAGAGACUUGUUCAUAUGCAGAGAAGUCUUACGCCACUCCAACCCCCUUCGGAUUAAUAUUGUGCGGGCUUGGGGAGCUAGAAUUUCCUUCAUUACUGCAAUAGUAUUGUUACUGACACAAUCAAGUGACAAAUGUUGAACCUCAUGCUGUAAUGAAUUGGUGUAUGUGGAUCCUUGCAGAAUUUCUUGACAUGGUGAAGAUUCUUCCAGAAUGAAGCAAACAUUUCUGCUUACGGAAUCAGCAAGAUCAUGCAUGAGAUCAUGCAUCUUGCAAGUAGUUACUCUGUGGAUUAAGUCAUCCUUGUCAAUCUUUACAUCUUGUAGGAAACAUCUCCAAACUAGCACAUCAAAAAUUUGGUGGCCUCUUGUUUCUGAUGCAAUAAAGUCAUUUGCCAUCCAUAUCUGGACUAACAUGUCUUUAUCCAUCAGGCUAUCUUUGGAGAAAAUAGCACAAAAGGAAAAACAUAUUUUUUCCUCCGAUGACAAGUGAUCAUAGCUUAGUUGUAGUGCAGGUACAAUCCCAGUAGUUGUGACGAUGUUAUCUUUCCAAACAUCACUAUCUAGAACAGAAAGCCACUGACUGUGAUGCUUCGAAGAGAGUAAAGCUGCCAUGGUCUUGAUAGCAAGAGGCAAUCCCUUGCACUUGUGGACAAUACUCUUAGCCAUUGAAACCAAUUCCUCUCGCUUUUCCACUCCCCUUCCAAAUGUGUUUUUGUGGAAAAGGUCCCAUGAUUGAUCCUCAUCUAGAAGUGAAAUUUGAUGUGGAGGAAGUGUGCCCAUGAUAGAAGCAACUUGACUGCUGCGGCUUGUCACAACUAUAGCACUGCCUGAGCCAGCAUGUGAGCAUAACGAAGAUCUCAUAUCGUCCCACUUUUGUCUAUCUUCGUUCCAAACAUCAUCCAACACUAGGAGGUACUUUUUCUUGCCCAACGCCUCACUAAGUUUCUUCUGCAGUGCCUCCAUCUGAGUCAGAUCACACUUCUUCAUCAUGACCACUUCUAUUACAGAUCGGAUUAUUUCUUGGAUGAUGAACUUGUCAGAGACACAAACCCAUAUGACCAACUCAAAAUGGUGGAUGACUCGGUGGUCAUUGUACACAAGUUGAGCAAGGGUGGUCUUACCAAUUCCCCCCAUACCAACAACGGGGAGCACCAUGACAUUAUUAUGGCUACUGUUGUUGUGGUCGAGCAAUAUCUUCACCACUUGUUCCCUCUCAUCUUGUCUGCCCACAAUCUCUGAUUCAUCGACAAGAGAGUGUGUUUGCGGACGAACAACGCUUGGUGCCUCAGCAUGUUGUAAGAAGUGGAAAUUAUUCAUCUCCGCGACAAGUUCACCAAUCGUUUGAAGGGCACCCUUCAACUUCCAACUCAUGUGAAGACGGAAAACAACCGGGCUAUUGAUUGUGAGGUACGUCAGCACCUGAAAUGAUAACAAAUAAAGUGAAGGCUUCCAUUUCCAAAUUAAAACCUUUUAUUGAAAAUAGAGCCUGCCGGGGUUUGACGAGGACGAACCUUGCCCGGCGUGGAGCGGGAGUGGCUCUGGGCGCCAACACGGCGGCGCAGGGCCUCGUGGCGGAAGUCGUCGAGGACGUCGUCGGCUUGGCAGGCGGCGGUCUUGAGGUCCUUGAUCCAUCGACGGACGGCGGGGUUGGUGCGGCUCUUGGCGUCGGCGUCCAGCAAGAUGCACUGGACGGCGGCGAGGUGGCGCUCCAGCUUCCGGCGGGCCUUGUCCAGCCCCCACGCCCGCAGCAGCUCGCCGACCAGCGCGUCGCCGGCCACGCUGCCCAGCAGUGGCAUCAGCAGGGAGCCCAUCUCAGCCGGUCGCCGGCGGUGGGUGGCUCAGUGGGCAGCGGUCCAGGCGAAAGUGAAUGAAUGUGCGAGAGAGCCCGUACCAAAAUUCGAGAGGACGCUUUGCUUUGGUUGAGUGCGGAGGAAAAACAGGCCAUGCUUUUGAUCGCUUUUGCUACCAGUAGUAGUACUUUAUUUGAUUUGUCUCAAAAAAAAAACUUUAUUUGAUUUGCUUGGGCGCGGAGAAAUGAGAAAAGAAGAUGUACUAGUAAAUUAAGACCUGGGAUACAACUUUGCGUGUAAAUUAAGGAGCGAGGGAAGAAAAUCGGGCACUGCCGGCCGCUCACCGGAGUCGGGGCGCUGGUUGAUACAAAUUGUUACGGUGAUCGAUCGCUGACCGCAGGCUGCGGCGUCCAUUGCGUUGAUCUGUAAAGUAUGAAGCUAAGUUGGGGCUCAAGGUCGACUAUUCAUCUCAGGGAAAUGCUCAAGCUAGAUUUGGGGCAGGGUAGACUGGUUGGCUUCUGGGGUUGGGUUUGGGAACGGUAGGACAGUUGCUGUAGGUUAGCUUUAGGAUGCUCAUAUUGUACAUCCAGAUGUAAUUAUGUUUGAGUUAUUCUUGUGACCUCAAAGGGGCACACUGCUGCUUGUAUUGACUGGGCGAUCAGAUUGUGAGUGGGGUGUGUGUGU
rnacentral:lncRNA from 1 species